CCUACGGGAGGCAGCAGUGAGGAAUAUUGGUCAAUGGACGAGAGUCUGAACCAGCCAAGUAGCGUGAAGGAUGACUGCCCUAUGGGUUGUAAACUUCUUUUAUAAAGGAAUAAAACGAGGCACGUGUGCCUUUUUGCAUGUACUUUAUGAAUAAGGAUCGGCUAACUCCGUGCCAGCAGCCGCGGUAAUACGGAGGAUCCGAGCGUUAUCCGGAUUUAUUGGGGUUAAAGGGAGCGUAGAUGGGUUGUUAAGUCAGUUGUGAAAGUUUGCGGCUCAAACGUAAAAUUGCAAUUGAUACUGGCAGUCGUGAGUACAGUUGAGGUAGGCGGAAUUCGUGGUGUAGCGGUGAAAUGCUUAGAUAUCACGAAGAACCCCGAUUGCGAAGGCAGCUUACUAAACUGUGACUGACAUUGAUGCUCGAAAGUGUGGGUAUCAAACAGGAUUAGAUACCCGAGUAGUC
rnacentral:rRNA from 1 species